rnacentral:rRNA from 1 species
AAUUUAUUACACUGAUUAUAACAUCAAAAAAACCAAAAACUUUUUAAUAAAAUUCAAGAAAUCUUAAAGAAAAAAACUUUCAACAACGGAUCUCUUGGUUCUCGCAUCGAUGAAGAACGCAGCGAAUUGCGAUACGUAAUAUGACUUGCAGACGUGAAUCAUUGAAUUUUUGAACGCACAUUGCGCCUUUUGGUAUUCCAAAAGGCAUGCCUGUUUGAGCGUCAUUUACCCUCAAUCCCCUCGGAUUGGUCUUGGCCAACUUUCCAAAUGGCUUAAAGUACAAAUAUUUUAAUUCUAAGUUUUUAAAAUAACUCCCCUUCGACCUCAAAUCAAGCAAGACUACCCGCUGAACUUAAGCAUAUCAAUAGCGGAGGAAGC